CGGCAAGUUCAAAAACCACAGACAAGUUUACUCAGGGUGACAAACAUGCCUUCCACGUCUGGAUCUCAGUGCCCAGCACAGCACCUGACUCAUCAUAGGAACUUGGCCAAGACUCCCUCCUGCAAACCAGACCUGGCCUUUGGAUUCUUCAGCCUCCCCUCAACCCUCUGACUCUGAAGCUCAAGCUGACCUUGGUAAAGAUG